rnacentral:rRNA from 1 species
GGGUUGUGAGGUUAAGCGACUAAGCGUACACGGUGGAUGCCCUGGCAGUCAGAGGCGAUGAAGGACGUGCUAAUCUGCGAUAAGCGUCGGUAAGGUGAUAUGAACCGUUAUAACCGGCGAUUUCCGAAUGGGGAAACCCAGUGUGUUUCGACACACUAUCAUUAACUGAAUCCAUAGGUUAAUGAGGCGAACCGGGGGAACUGAAACAUCUAAGUACCCCGAGGAAAAGAAAUCAACCGAGAUUCCCCCAGUAGCGGCGAGCGAACGGGGAGCAGCCCAGAGCCUGAAUCAGUGUGUGUGUUAGUGGAAGCGUCUGGAAAGGCGCGCGAUACAGGGUGACAGCCCCGUACACAAAAAUGCACAUGCUGUGAGCUCGAUGAGUAGGGCGGGACACGUGGUAUCCUGUCUGAAUAUGGGGACCAUCCUCCAAGGCUAAAUACUCCUGACUGACCGAUAGUGAACCAGUACCGUGAGGGAAAGGCGAAAAGAACCCCGGCGAGGGGAGUGAAAAAGAACCUGAAACCGUGUACGUACAAGCAGUGGGAGCACGCUUAGGCGUGUGACUGCGUACCUUUUGUAUAAUGGGUCAGCGACUUAUAUUCUGUAGCAAGGUUAACCGAAUAGGGGAGCCGAAGGGAAACCGAGUCUUAACUGGGCGUUAAGUUGCAGGGUAUAGACCCGAAACCCGGUGAUCUAGCCAUGGGCAGGUUGAAGGUUGGGUAACACUAACUGGAGGACCGAACCGACUAAUGUUGAAAAAUUAGCGGAUGACUUGUGGCUGGGGGUGAAAGGCCAAUCAAACCGGGAGAUAGCUGGUUCUCCCCGAAAGCUAUUUAGGUAGCGCCUCGUGAAUUCAUCUCCGGGGGUAGAGCACUGUUUCGGCAAGGGGGUCAUCCCGACUUACCAACCCGAUGCAAACUGCGAAUACCGGAGAAUGUUAUCACGGGAGACACACGGCGGGUGCUAACGUCCGUCGUGAAGAGGGAAACAACCCAGACCGCCAGCUAAGGUCCCAAAGUCAUGGUUAAGUGGGAAACGAUGUGGGAAGGCCCAGACAGCGAGGAUGUUGGCUUAGAAGCAGCCAUCAUUUAAAGAAAGCGUAAUAGCUCACUGGUCGAGUCGGCCUGCGCGGAAGAUGUAACGGGGCUAAACCAUGCACCGAAGCUGCGGCAGCGACGCUUAUGCGUUGUUGGGUAGGGGAGCGUUCUGUAAGCCUGCGAAGGUGUGCUGUGAGGCAUGCUGGAGGUAUCAGAAGUGCGAAUGCUGACAUAAGUAACGAUAAAGCGGGUGAAAAGCCCGCUCGCCGGAAGACCAAGGGUUCCUGUCCAACGUUAAUCGGGGCAGGGUGAGUCGACCCCUAAGGCGAGGCCGAAAGGCGUAGUCGAUGGGAAACAGGUUAAUAUUCCUGUACUUGGUGUUACUGCGAAGGGGGGACGGAGAAGGCUAUGUUGGCCGGGCGACGGUUGUCCCGGUUUAAGCGUGUAGGCUGGUUUUCCAGGCAAAUCCGGAAAAUCAAGGCUGAGGCGUGAUGACGAGGCACUACGGUGCUGAAGCAACAAAUGCCCUGCUUCCAGGAAAAGCCUCUAAGCAUCAGGUAACAUCAAAUCGUACCCCAAACCGACACAGGUGGUCAGGUAGAGAAUACCAAGGCGCUUGAGAGAACUCGGGUGAAGGAACUAGGCAAAAUGGUGCCGUAACUUCGGGAGAAGGCACGCUGAUAUGUAGGUGAGGUCCCUCGCGGAUGGAGCUGAAAUCAGUCGAAGAUACCAGCUGGCUGCAACUGUUUAUUAAAAACACAGCACUGUGCAAACACGAAAGUGGACGUAUACGGUGUGACGCCUGCCCGGUGCCGGAAGGUUAAUUGAUGGGGUUAGCGCAAGCGAAGCUCUUGAUCGAAGCCCCGGUAAACGGCGGCCGUAACUAUAACGGUCCUAAGGUAGCGAAAUUCCUUGUCGGGUAAGUUCCGACCUGCACGAAUGGCGUAAUGAUGGCCAGGCUGUCUCCACCCGAGACUCAGUGAAAUUGAACUCGCUGUGAAGAUGCAGUGUACCCGCGGCAAGACGGAAAGACCCCGUGAACCUUUACUAUAGCUUGACACUGAACAUUGAGCCUUGAUGUGUAGGAUAGGUGGGAGGCUUUGAAGUGUGGACGCCAGUCUGCAUGGAGCCGACCUUGAAAUACCACCCUUUAAUGUUUGAUGUUCUAACGUUGACCCGUAAUCCGGGUUGCGGACAGUGUCUGGUGGGUAGUUUGACUGGGGCGGUCUCCUCCUAAAGAGUAACGGAGGAGCACGAAGGUUGGCUAAUCCUGGUCGGACAUCAGGAGGUUAGUGCAAUGGCAUAAGCCAGCUUGACUGCGAGCGUGACGGCGCGAGCAGGUGCGAAAGCAGGUCAUAGUGAUCCGGUGGUUCUGAAUGGAAGGGCCAUCGCUCAACGGAUAAAAGGUACUCCGGGAUAACAGGCUGAUACCGCCCAAGAGUUCAUAUCGACGGCGGUGUUUGGCACCUCGAUGUCGGCUCAUCACAUCCUGGGGCUGAAGUAGGUCCCAAGGGUAUGGCUGUUCGCCAUUUAAAGUGGUACGCGAGCUGGGUUUAGAACGUCGUGAGACAGUUCGGUCCCUAUCUGCCGUGGGCGCUGGAGAACUGAGGGGGGCUGCUCCUAGUACGAGAGGACCGGAGUGGACGCAUCACUGGUGUUCGGGUUGUCAUGCCAAUGGCACUGCCCGGUAGCUAAAUGCGGAAGAGAUAAGUGCUGAAAGCAUCUAAGCACGAAACUUGCCCCGAGAUGAGUUCUCCCUGACCCUUUAAGGGUCCUGAAGGAACGUUGAAGACGACGACGUUGAUAGGCCGGGUGUGUAAGCGCAGCGAUGCGUUGAGCUAACCGGUACUAAUGAACCGUGAGGCUUAACCUUACAACGCCGAAGCUGUU